rnacentral:rRNA from 1 species
CCUACGGGAGGCAGCAGUGAGGAAUAUUGGUCAAUGGGCGAGAGCCUGAACCAGCCAAGUAGCGUGCAGGAUGACGGCCCUAUGGGUUGUAAACUGCUUUUAUACAGGGAUAAAGUCGGGGACGUGUUCCCCGUUUGCAGGUACUGUAUGAAUAAGGACCGGCUAAUUCCGUGCCAGCAGCCGCGGUAAUA